rnacentral:rRNA from 1 species
GGCGAGUGGCGAACGGGUGAGUAAUACAUCGGAACGUGUCCUGUAGUGGGGGAUAGCCCGGCGAAAGCCGGAUUAAUACCGCAUACGAUCUACGGAUGAAAGCGGGGGAUCGCAAGACCUCGCGCUAUAGGGGCGGCCGAUGGCGGAUUAGCUAGUUGGUGGGGUAAAGGCCCACCAAGGCGACGAUCCGUAGCUGGUCUGAGAGGACGACCAGCCACACUGGGACUGAGACACGGCCCAGACUCCUACGGGAGGCAGCAGUGGGGAAUUUUGGACAAUGGGCGCAAGCCUGAUCCAGCAAUGCCGCGUGUGUGAAGAAGGCCUUCGGGUUGUAAAGCACUUUUGUCCGGAAAGAAAUCCUCUGGGUUAAUACCCCGGGGGGAUGACGGUACCGGAAGAAUAAGCACCGGCUAACUACGUGCCAGCAGCCGCGGUAAUACGUAGGGUGCGAGCGUUAAUCGGAAUUACUGGGCGUAAAGCGUGCGCAGGCGGUGAUGUAAGACCGAUGUGAAAUCCCCGGGCUUAACCUGGGAACUGCAUUGGUGACUGCAUCGCUGGAGUAUGGCAGAGGGGGGUAGAAUUCACGUGUAGCAGUGAAAUGCGUAGAGAUGUGGAGGAAUACCGAUGGCGAAGGCAGCCCCCUGGGCCAAUACUGACGCUCAUGCACGAAAGCGUGGGGA